rnacentral:lncRNA from 1 species
AGCAAAGAAGACUAAAGGGGCAAAAUUCUAGAGAGUGGUAAAAAGAAUGCAGCUCUGGGGGCCCUUUCCACUUCUGACUAUAGGAAAGAACCUGAAUACUGAACUUGGUUCAGGCAGAGGGCCAUAACCUGGGGGUCAGGGGAAGGCAUGGGGGGACCAGAAACCGGGAGAACAAUCAAGACUGCAGUGUAAAGAAUGAAUACAUUAGGGGCUUCAAACACAUAUAAUUUCUCAAAUUUCCAGAUGUCUCAUGCUGCAUAGGGCAGGAUUCUGAAAAGCUAAUUUGAGAAUAUAAUAAGUAGGAUUUUUGUUUUGUUUUGCAUUUGGCAGUAUGAAGGAGAAAUGAUUAAAACUUAGGAAGUGCCAGUGGGUUGGUCCUUUGCUUAACAUGCCAUCAGUAAAAGCCCUGGAAACAAGGUCAUACUAGAGAUUGAUUGUGCUUGUCACAACUGCAAACAGUACCUGAGUGGAAUAUUCAAAAACUUGCUUAGAAAGAAAACUCUAGGAACAGAUGGCUUCGCUGAACUGAUUCCAAAUAUUUAAAAGUAAUACCAGGCUUUUAUAAACUUUUCUAGAAGAAAAAAGAUGGAACUUUUCCAUUCAGUUUUUGAGGCCAGUACAACUUUGGUACCAAAACCUUAAAAAAAAAAAAAAAGAAAAGAAACAAACAAACAAACAAACAAAAAACAAAACCAUAAAGCUAUAGAUCAAAGUCUUACAGAUUUAGAUGCAAAAUCCUAAAACUGAAAAAAAUGUCUAGCCAUAUCCAUAAACUAUAUCAUCACCAAGAGAUGUUUAUUAGGGCAAUCAAAAGAUGAUUUAUUAUUUUUUUUAAAUGUGGCCUUCCAUUCCUCUUUCUUUUGAUUCCCCUCUUUGAGUUUUCAUGUGUCUCUCCUGACUUCCUUCCCCAGAGUGGAGGAGUUAGACUUGCCUCGUGGGAUGAGAGGAGUUGUGGCCUUGUUCCUGCUGGCACCAAGAGGGCUGACGGUGAGAUAUACCUUUGGAGUCCAACCCUUCUGACCAUCCAGAGUCAAGCACAAUAUUCCUGAGAAAAUCUCAAACAGAUGGUGAGACAACAUUGUCUUUUCUGCCAAGAAAAAGAGUGAAAACUCUUGUUGUUUGAUCAGAUGUAUUAUAGAAAGUAUUUAGAAACUUGUAUUGGUUUGAUUUUUUAUACUUUUCACAUAUUUACUUGUCUUAUUUUAAUAUGUUAUAUACUUUUUCUUAAUUGUUACUGUG